UAGAAACAUGGUUGACUAACGUUACUAGUCUAGCAAGUUAGCUAGCUAGUUCAUUUAGAACUGUAUCAAGUGCAAGCAAGAUUUUUAUCAGAUGAGUUUAUUGAAAUAUUUCCAGCCACAGUAGAGAAAAGGGAAAGGACGCAGGGACAAGAGGAGAACAGGGACAAGAGUGUCAGGUAAUGUUAACUUGGCUAGCUAACGUCAAAUCAGCCUGAAUUAAAUGAAACUUUCUUUAGUUAGCUAACUCUUUAAAAGCUUAAGCUUCAGUAUUUAUAACAAGUGUAUGGCUUACUUUACCAGACAGGACUGAGGUAGGGAUGCAUGAGGGAUAGAAUGGAAGAGAGGAGAGAGCCAGGAGUGGAGAUGGAAGGAGAAAAGGAGAGAGGAGAACAGAGGAAAGGAGUGAGCCAGGAAGGGAGGUGGAAGGAGAAAAGGGGAGCAGAGAGAAUGAGAAAAGAGGAGUAGAUAAAAAAGGAGAGGAUAGGAGGGAGGAGUAAGGUCAAGUGUGCACCACCGGCAAUCUGGAUGGGACCUAAAGUGGCUUAAAAUUGAACUGAAGCCGUGGAUAUAUAAUACGCCACAUGGUUAGUCAAAUUUCCUUUAAUUAGGCUAAGGGCUAAAAAAAAUGAUGCAUAUUUAAUCUGUACUAGUCUACAGCAUUAUGUGUUUAUUUCUGAGCCAACUCCACCAGGACCUCGAUGACCCAAUGGGUCUGGUUGCAUUCAACAUCAAGGAGGAGAAGGAGAGGCCAGGUGGAGAAGACCAAGACCAGGGAGCAGUUCUGGGUUUGGUUCAGAGAGGAGGUAAAAACAUUUGUUUUCAAAUGCUGUGAUGAAACCAAUGUUACAUCAGGUGUGUUGGAUAAACUAAAACAAAAAGCUAUUAAUCACUUAUUUUCUACUUUGUGCUGUAAUUAGGUCAUGGAUCCAUAUAUUGUUGACCUACAGGACAGCCUAGACUGGAGGUUCCAACACCUGGAGAUUCUGGGGACCUUCAGUGUGUUGGGACCUCAGUCUGCGUUCUGUAGUGAGAGGAUAAGCACCUUUAACCUGACCCUCCUCUCCAGGCAGUUAUUGCAAGUGCUAGAGGCUGCUGUGCUGUAAGAGUGGCCCUUACAAGCAACAUGUGCUUGUUGGAUCAUUCAAGGUAUGGCAUGAGUGUGACAAUCUUUUGAAGAGGACAUUUUUGGCCAGUGUUGCCCAACCCUGUUGAACUACCACUCUGUUGGCUCUUCUUUAAUGUUGUACAUAUUUUUGUUUUUCAUGUAUUUCAGGGGUUGGACCAGCGGACGACAAUGACAAAGCUGACCUCGCAGUUUGAUGAGUGGGGGCAGUCUACCCCUGCCUUAGCCAGCUGGCAGCAAUUGCACUGACUUUACCAGUGUCUUACGUUAAUUGUGAGAGGGACUUCUCUGCAAUGAAACGAGUCAAAACAGGCUUGAGGAACAGACUGCAGGGAGAGCAUCUAGCCGCCUUCUUACAGCUCUCCAUCAACGGCUCACCCAUCAAGGAGCUCAAUUACAGGAGGGUGUUGGAAAUCUUUUUACAGAAGCCCAGAAGAAAAAAGUUAUCUGACAAAAGCUGUAAUUGUCACGCCCUGGUCUUAGUAUUUUGUGUUUUCUUUAUUUAUUUGGUCAGGCCAGGGUGUGACAUGGGUUUAUUUUGUGGUGUGUUUGUGUAUUGGGGUUUUUCAUAGGUUUUGGGAUUGUGGCUUAGUGGGGUGUUCUAGCAAAGUCUAUGGUUGCCUGAGGCGGUUCUCAAUCAGAGGCAGGUGAUUCUUGUUGUCUCUGAUUGGGAACCAUAUUUAGGCAGCCAUAUUCUUUGAGUGUUUCGUGGGUGAUUGUUCCUGUCUCUGUGUUAGUGUUCACCAGAUGGGCUGUAUAGGUUUUCACGGUCCGUUUCCUGUUUUUGUAUUGUUCGUUUUUUCUUCGUUAUUAAACAUGUAUCUAACUUACCACGCUGCAUUUUGGUCCGACUCUCUUUCGACGGAAGAAAACCGUAACAGCAAUGUCAAAACAAGGUUUUUGGCAGAACCUGGAAAGAGAUUUCCAACACCCUACUUUUAUGAUUAACAUGAAUUAGUGGGCUCUAAUUCGUGUUCAGUCAAAUGUUCCUGUUAAUCUUGUCAAGCUAAACUUUUUUAUUUCAGAACAAAGGUCUCUGUUAUGUUUCUUUAGAUAGCUGCAGCACUCAAUGGUUUAUUUGAGUUUUUUUCCUUUUAAAAAGUUACGAGAACCAAUAUUUUCAGUACUUAUAAAUACUUUGUUAUGGGGGUGAGGACCCCGGGAAUCCCCCCAAAAAGAUGGGACCAACCCUUAAACCCCCACUAACUUUUCCGACACAGCUAACACAUUUUCCAGAGGAAAUACUGGUGUGUACUAAAUAGUUUUUCUUCCAGAAAAGAAAAGAGAUGGGAUAGCAUCAUCCAUUUCACAGUCUAUAUGGAUCGGUAAUGCUAUCAUCUCAACUUUUAAGGAGAAAUACUACUUAGCUUAUAAAUGCAUAACAACACGUUGAUAGCCUGUUGGUGUGUAACUUGGUUGUGUGUAGCCUGUUUACAGUGUGUGUGUGUAGCCUGUUCUUUACUUGACUUUGUCCAUGAGGUUGAUGUAUUGCUUCAUCUCCCAUCCCACCUGGGACAACAGUCUCUUAUCCUCCUGCUGAAGCCCUAUAGCAGAGACACAGUUCUCAAA
ensembl:lncRNA